AACACUAACCUAGUGUUACCCAGGCAAGCCCCAGUGCAUGCAACCCCUUCCUUGUAUUUUUAAAUAAUUUUUACACACUUUAAGUCUAGUGAAAUGUGCAUUAAGUUUAUAGGAGUUGCUUGGAACCCUUUGAUGCAUUGCCUUCCUUGAUAUCCAUACCUUUAUAGAUACUUCUGAUGAAGUAUCAAAAUAUGAUUUACAAAAUUUGCUUAGCCUUGCUUAGAGGUAAAUCUUGUGGAUAGAGGUUGUCCUUUGCGUUAAUGCCUAGCUCAGGGGUUAUCCUGAGGAAGGAUGGCUUCUGCCUGCAAGAAUAUUUUCAUUGGGAGCAAUGGUGGGAUCUUACUGCAAAGUUCCCUUUGAUGCUCUUUUCAUCCUGAGGAAUACAAACAAUCCUAAGGGUGGAAGUACUUAAAUCGGGACUUGGGCUAGGAACAGGUGAUGCUCCGCCCGGGUCAAUUAAGGAUUGGAUGCGUAUGUAGGCCUGAUAGAUCAAGGACUAUCUUAACUGGCCACAUGCCCUGGAAAUGGGACAGGGUAAGCUUGAACCCGGCUAUUCCAUACGUGAAAAGACAACCGCGCACUGGGCGUGGGAGAUGGUGGGAGUAGCGUGUGCCCUCCUGGCUAGAGGCUGGAUGGAGGAGUACUGUGCUCCCGGGUAGCGCGGACCGGUUCACGUUGUGGAGGAUCUGUGGGAACGGUUGACAUAUGCAAGGGUUAAGUGCUACAUAUGUCGUGUGGUUAGAGAUCCUCAGCUGAGUAAAUCGAUUCGGAUCGCCGUUAUAUCCCCGGAGAGUGGAGACUUGAUCACUGACCUGCAACCUAAGUCAGGAUGUGAACCUCAUGAAUAAAAAUGAUGUUGUAUUGAUGAGAUGGUGAAAUUAGACCAGAUGCAAAUAGAGUCUAUUAAUAUUUAAUCUGGCGUUAAAAUAUUGAAAGUAAGGACUCACUUUAGUAAGCUAUUUCUGCAAAAGUAUCUAAGUUGAUUCUUGCUAAAGCCUCUCCUUGAUUCCCAAAUCCAGCAUACCCUUGAGAGUCUUUUCUUUAGUCGGGUAAGUCUUGCUGAGUAAUUCCAUACUCAGGGUUUUAUUCCCUGUUGUUUUUCAGGUUCUAACUUUGUGCUGCUUUUGAUGGUGUUAAGUGCCGGUGGGCUCGGCCUUCUUAUAUAAGUAUAACCCGUCUUUAUCUUCUUACUGAGGAUGGUCAUUUGAGCUAGCAUAUAUUUCAAACUUAUACUUUUGUAAUCACUCCGAUAAAAUAAUAUAAAAUUUUUGUAACUUGUAAAAUUUGGUAAUAAG
rnacentral:lncRNA from 1 species